UACGUAGGGUGCAAGCGUUAUCCGGAAUUAUUGGGCGUAAAGAGCUCGUAGGCGGUUUGUCACGUCUGCUGUGAAAUGCCGGGGCUCAACCCCGUGCCCGCCGCGGAUACUGGAGGGCUGGAGACACGUAGAGGCAAGCGGAAUUCCGGGUGUAGCGGUGGAAUGCGUAGAGAUCCGGAAGAACACCGGAGGCGAAGGCGGCUUGCUGGGCGUAGUCUGACGCUGAGGCGCGAAAGCGUGGGGAGCAAACGGG
rnacentral:rRNA from 1 species